rnacentral:rRNA from 1 species
AUGGGCGCAAGCCUGAUCCAGCCAUGCCGCGUGUCUGAAGAAGGCCUUCGGGUUGUAAAGGACUUUUGUUAGGGAAGAAAAAGGAGCGGUUAAUACCCGUUUCUGCUGACGGUACCUAAAGAAUAAGCACCGGCUAACUACGUGCCAGCAGCCGCGGUAAUACGUAGGGUGCGAGCGUUAAUCGGAAUUACUGGGCGUAAAGCGAGCGCAGACGGUUACUUAAGCAGGAUGUGAAAUCCCCGGGCUUAACCUGGGAACUGCGUUCUGAACUGGGUGGCUAGAGUAUGUCAGAGGGGGGUAGAAUUCCACGUGUAGCAGUGAAAUGCGUAGAGAUGUGGAGGAAUACCGAUGGCGAAGGCAGCCCCCUGGGAUAAUACUGACGUUCAUGCUCGAAAGCGUGGGUAGCAAACAGGAUUAGAUACCCUGGUAGUCCACGCCCUAAACGAUGUCGAUUAGCUGUUGGGCAGCUUGACUGCUUAGUAGCGUAGCUAACGCGUGAAAUCGACCGCCUGGGGAGUACGGUCGCAAGAUUAAAACUCAAAGGAAUUGACGGGGACCCGCACAAGCGGUGGAUGAUGUGGAUUAAUUCGAUGCAACGCGAAGAACCUUACCUGGUCUUGACAUGUACGGAACCUUCCAGAGACGGAAGGGUGCCUUCGGGAGCCGUAA